ACACAGCUGCCUCAACAUAGAGCUUUCCCCUCUUCCAUUUUAAUAUAAAUGACCUCGCUUAUAUAGAAAUCUUCAUGUUUUUUCAGUCCCUUCUCUUCUUCUUCUUCUCUCUCAAGUCUCCACCAAACUAGUAAUUGCAUUGUUCUUUCUUUUCCAUUACCAUGGUGGUAGCAUCCAACUUUGCGGUGAUCAAACCCUUCUUUAUUUCAUUCCUUCAACAAAGGCCUUUUAGGCGUCCUACUCCUAACUUCCAUGAGAUGAUGCGUAACAUUACAUGGCAAGCCAGAGGUCCUUCCAUGCCAUGAAUGAUUACAUGCGUGGGUGCAUGCAUCCAUGCGAGGGGAAUCGAGCAUUCCUGGUCCGAUUGAUUACUACAUUUAUAUGAAUUCUGUUCUGUAGCUGUACAAUUAUCAGUCCUUGUUCAUUACAGACUGCUCCUCUCUUCUUCUUCUUCUUCUUCUUCUUUGGUUUUUUCCCCGAUUAAGCAUUAUUGAUUUUCUUUUGAGAGUUAGGAUUGUAUCUGUAGUUGAUUAUAUAUCAUCAUAAGUGCUCUUG
rnacentral:lncRNA from 1 species